CUCUAUUAAGUGCGAGAAAUAAUAUUCAAAUUUAUUGCCAAAUACUAAAUAAGCAUCAGAGCCCAAACUUGAUUUUCCUUUCGGUAACGAAAGACCAUCAAUCAGUUGUGUUUUUAAGUUGGUCCUUAUAAAUAAGAACCAGUUUUCCCCAAGUUCCAUCAUAGGAGUAAGCUUGUGCAGGUGCCAGGUGUAAGGAUGGUUCUUGUAUACAAAGUAUGUUCUUAUAAAUAGAUCAUUAUUUUAGGACAUGGUGUAAUUUGUAGAACCAUUUUGAAUUCUUAAAGGACUACACCAUUAGAGUAUAAAGAUAAUAG
rnacentral:lncRNA from 1 species